ACGUCAAAUCAUCAUGCCCCUUAUGUUCUGGGCUACACACGUGCUACAAUGGCCGGUACAAAGAGCCGCGAAGUCGCGAGGCGGAGCAAAUCUCAAAAACCGGCCCCAGUUCGGAUUGCAGGCUGCAACCCGCCUGCAUGAAGCCGGAGUUGCUAGUAAUCGCAGAUCAGAAUGCUGCGGUGAAUGCGUUCCCGGGUCUU
rnacentral:rRNA from 1 species